UACGGCAGGGUGCAAGCGUUGUUCGGAAUUACUGGGCGUAAAGGGCGCGUAGGCGGAAUAAUAGGUUAGGUGUGAAAUCUUCGGGCUUAACCCGGAAAGGGCACUUAAAACUGUUAUACUAGAGUUCGGGAGGGGAAAGCGGAAUUCCUAGUGUAGAGGUGAAAUUUGUAGAUAUUAGGAAGAACACCGGUGGCGAAGGCGGCUUUCUGGAACGAUACUGACGCUGAGGCGCGAAAGCGUGGGGAGCAAACAGGAUUAGAUACCCUGGUAGUCCACGCUGUAAACGAUGAACACUAAGUAUAGGAAGAUUAUUCUUUCUGUGCUCAAGCUAACGCGUUAAGUGUUCCGCCUGGGGAGUACGGUCGCAAGAUUAAAACUCAAAGAAAUUGACGGGGGCCCGCACAAGCGGUGGAGCAUGUGGUUUAAUUCGACGCAACGCGAAGAACCUUACCUGGGUUGGACAUCCUCUGACAAUUAUAGAAAUAUAACUUUUUCAGCAAUGAAACAGAGAGACAGGUGCUGCAUGGCUGUCGUCAGCUCGCGUCGUGAGAUGUUGGGUUAAGUCCCGCAACGAGCGCAACCCUUAUCUUUAGUUGCCAUCAUUCAGUUGGGCACUCUAGAGAAACUGCCGGUGAUAAAUCGGAUGAAGGUGGGGAUGACGUCAAGUCCUCAUGGCCUUUAUAUCCAGGGCUACACACGUGCUACAAUGGUUUGGACAAAGAGACGCAAGUCUGCGAAAACAAGCAAAUCUCAUAAACCAAAUCUCAGUUCGGAUUGAAGUCUGCAACUCGACUUCAUGAAGUCGGAAUCGCUAGUAAUCGCAGAUCAGCAUGCUGCGGUGAAUACGUUCCCGGGCCU
rnacentral:rRNA from 1 species